CAGGAUUAGAUACCCUGGUAGUCCACGCCCUAAACGAUGUCAACUAGCUGUUGGGCCGGUUACGCUUAGUAGCGCAGCUAACGCGUGAAGUUGACCGCCUGGGGACUACGGUCGCAAGACUAAAACUCAAAGGAAUUGACGGGGACCCGCACAAGCGGUGGAUGAUGUGGAUUAAUUCGAUGCAACGCGAAAAACCUUACCUACCCUUGACAUGCCCGGAAGCUUCAAGAGAUUGGAGUGUGCUCGCAAGAGAACCGGAGCACAGGUGCUGCAUGGCUGUCGUCAGCUCGUGUCGUGAGAUGUUGGGUUAAGUCCCGCAACGAGCGCAACCCUUGUCAUUAGUUGCUACGAAAGGGCACUCUAAUGAGACUGCCGGUGACAAACCGGAGGAAGGUGGGGAUGACGUCAAGUCCUCAUGGCCUUAUGGGUAGGGCUUCACACGUCAUACAAUGGUCAGGACAGCGGGUUGCCAAGCCGCGAGGUGGAGCUAAUCUCUUAAACCUGAUCGUAGUCCGGAUUGCAGGCUGCAACUCGCCUGCAUGAAGUCGGAAUCGCUAGUAAUCGCAGAUCAGAAUGCUGCGGUGAAUACGUUCCCGGUCUUGUACACACCGCCCGUCACACCAUGGGAGUGGGUUUUACCAGAAGUAGUUAGCCUAACCGCAAGGGGGGCGAUUACCACGGUAGGAUUCAUGACUGGGGUGAAGUCGUAACAAGGUAGCCGUACCGGAAGGUGCGGCUG
rnacentral:rRNA from 1 species